rnacentral:rRNA from 1 species
GUACACGCUGUGACUAGCAUAUCAAUAAGCGGAGGAAAAGAAACUAACAAGGAUUCCCCUAGUAACGGCGAGUGAAGCGGGAAGAGCUCGAAUUUGAAAUCUUAAAGGGUUUCCCUUUACGAAUUGUAGUUUAAAGAAGUGUUUUCUGUUGAGGUUUUGGUAAAAGUUCUUUGGAAUAGGACAUCAUAGAGGGUGAGAAUCCCGUAUUUGACCUUUACUUUCAACUUUGUGAUACACCUUCAAAGAGUCGGAUUGUUUGGGAAUGCAGUCCAAAAUGGGUGGUAAAUUUCAUCUAAAGCUAAAUAUUGGCGAGAGACCGAUAGCGAACAAGUACCGUGAGGGAAAGAUGAAAAGAACUUUGAAAAGAGAGUUAAACAGUACGUGAAAUUGUCAAAAGGGAAGCGUUUGACACCAGUGUUGUUUUUCUGAAAAUCAAUUAAAGAACUGUUUAUGCUAAGUUGUUUAGACUUUAUCAGCUAACUGUUUAGUUUUGAGCUUUUCUUUAAUGCACUUUUCAGUUAACAAGUCAACAUCAAUUUCUUUUGCUGUAAAAAAGCUUGAGGAAGGUGGCUUGAGAUUCGUCUUAAGUGUUUAUAGCCUCUUGCCUAUGCAGUCGGAGAGAUUGAGGUCUGCAGCGUAGAUCCUUCGGGGCUAAAUGCAUUUGUGCUAAGUUAUAGCAUUUUAUAGACAACUUGUUGACUAUGAUUUGUCUUGUAGCUUACUCGCUUAUGUUAUUUUACCUACGCUUAGGAUGUUGACGCGCGUGUGUGCGUG